UACGUAGGGUGCAAGCGUUUGUCCGGAAUUAUUGGGCGUAAAGAGCUUGUAGGCGGUUUGUCGCGUCUGCUGUGAAAUUUCGGGGCUCAACCCCGAACUUGCAGUGGGUACGGGCAGACUAGAGUGUGGUAGGGGAGACUGGAAUUCCUGGUGUAGCGGUGAAAUGCGCAGAUAUCAGGAGGAACACCGAUGGCGAAGGCAGGUCUCUGGGCCAUAACUGACGCUGAGAAGCGAAAAGCAUGGGGAGCGAACAGG
rnacentral:rRNA from 1 species